rnacentral:sRNA from 1 species
CUCUCGCUGUGAAGAUGGCGCUCUCCAGGGUUUGCUGGGCUCGGUUGGCUGUGUGGGGCUCGGCAGUCACCCCUGGACAUUUUGUCACCCGGAGGCUGCAACUUGGUCGCUCUGGCCUGGCUUGGGGGGCCCCUCGGUGAGGGACCUGUAGCGAGAAAAGCAUUUUUGACGUCCAGGCUCUUUCAGUGUCUCAACCUUGCUUGCAUUCUGUCUCUUAAUUCUCAGAGUUCCACGCCUUGGCCCUGGAAUUUUUAUUCUUCUGCUCAGGAUUCAAACUCCGAUCCCCACUAGUGACCCGGCUUCCUGACCCUCUGUACUCUCAGUGCCCCAUAUUGUCUGGUUUCCCCGCGUGUCCUGAGCUCAUCUUUCAGCCUCACUUUUUCGGCUCAGGUUUUACCGCUGCUGUCUCGAUUCCACCUCUUUCUGACUUAGCCUGCAGUUCAAAUUGUCCCACAGGCAUUGCGCUCUCUCCAGAGGCAUACCCUGAGUUCCUUUCCUGCCUGGCCUUUGCCUGAUUUGUGUUUCACAGUCUGAUUGCCUAUCUCUUCUUGACCCCAAGACCUUCCUUGGAUUUCAGAAGUGUCAAGCCUUGGGAUACAAUCUCCGAGACUCCUGCUUUACAUUAGGGACUCAAGGCGUGAGGGAGCUUCUAGGACUGAUUCCCAGAUAGUCUCUUUGAUCUUCCUUGUAGGUCUUCAAAGCUUCACCUUUCUCCAAAGGCAGAUGUGAAGAACUUGAUGUCUUAUGUCGUAACCAAGACAAAAGCCAUUAAUGGGAAAUACCAUCGUUUCUUGGGUCGUCAUUUCCCCCGCUUCUAUGUCCUGUACACAAUCUUCAUGAAAGGAUUGCAGAUGUUAUGGGCUGAUGCCAAAAAGGCUAGAAGAAUAAAGACAAAUAUGUGGAAGCACAAUAUAAAGUUUCAUCAACUUCCAUACCGGGAGAUGGAGCAUUUGAGACAGAAGCUGAGCUGUCUCUCUUGCUGCACAACGUGGUCCUGCUCUCCACCAACUACCUUGGGACAAGGCGCUGAAUGAACCGUGGAGCGGAUGGCAUUGUCCUGCAGUUGCAUAAUAUAGCAGUGCAGGAACAGACAGCACUUGCCAGCAAAGUCUGUGUGUACUGUUAAGUGUGUGGGAGGCGGAGAGAGGAGCAGGGGCCAUGGGCUUCACAGCAUGGCACACAUGUGGGAACUGCAGACAUUCCCCUCACAGCUAGAACUGAAACAAACCCUCUUGCCAGGGGUGGCCCGUGUGAGAUGUCAUCCUGUCCCCCUCAUAAUUAAUAAUAGCUGGAACUGGCAGCAGCCUCUACUGGGCUUUUACUGUGAUGUGUUCAGUUCAUGUCCUAGGAAGUCAGCUUUUGCCCCAGGUGGGAAUCCUUAUUUGGCUUAGGACUGAUCCACUUCCAUGUUACUUACAUCUGUGGGUUUUUGUUGUUGCUGUUAGAAAAUUUGUGGCUGGCGAAAACAGCACUCCUUUGGCUGGAGCACUCGUGGCCGUGCAUGUACUUCAGUGUUUCCCUCCAUCCUUUCUGAUAUGACCAAAAAUCAAGUUGUUUUGUUUUUUGUCCCAUUCACUGGCAUGGUCUAACCACUUCCUUUCUUUUUCAAACCCUCUGAACACCUUUUUUUGAUGGGUAACUUGCAGGAAUAUUCUAUUGGAAAAGAUAACAGGAAGUACAAGUGCUUCUUGACCCCUUCCUCAAUGUUUCUAGCCUUCACUCUCCAUUGUCUUUUCUGGGCUGUAUUACAGCCCCCUGUGGAUCUUCAACUCUGCUGCCUCCACUGUGAUGCAGCAGUCCAACUGUAACUGACAGUGGCUGCCUUCUCUGGGCCAUGGAUCACACCUGUAAGGUACUAAUUCCUGCCCAGCCUGGGGAGAUCAGGAGAGGUCUGCAUAGAGUAAGUUGGGUUUAGCUUUUGUGUGUGCAUCAGUGACUUAUAGUUCUGUAAUAACUUAUUGUAAAUGCAUGAAGCACCGUUUUUAAACCCAAGUAAAGACUGCUUGAAACCUGUUGAUGGAAA